AUUGAACGCUGGCGGCAUGCCUUACACAUGCAAGUCGAACGGCAGCACGGGUGCUUGCACCUGGUGGCGAGUGGCGAACGGGUGAGUAAUACAUCGGAACGUACCUUAUCGUGGGGGAUAACGCAGCGAAAGCUGUGCUAAUACCGCAUACGCCCUGAGGGGGAAAGCGGGGGAUCGAAAGACCUCGCGCGAUUAGAGCGGCCGAUGCCUGAUUAGCUUGUUGGUGGGGUAAAAGGCCACCAAGGCGACGAUCAGUAGCUGGGCUGAGAGGACGAUCAGCCACACUGGGACUGAGACACGGCCCAGACUCCUACGGGAGGCAGCAGUGAGGAAUUUUGGACAAUGGGGGCAACCCUGAUCCAGCAAUGCCGCGUGAGUGAAGAAGGCCUUCGGGUUGUAAAGCUCUUUUGUCAGGGAAGAAACACCGGCUCUAACACAGUCCGGGAAUGACGGUACCUGAAGAAUAAGCACCGGCUAACUACGUGCCAGCCGCCGCCGUAA
rnacentral:rRNA from 1 species